GGUACUACAGAUGUCUUUAUAAAAUUGUGUUUGUAAAAGCACGAAGUGUUUGCUUUAAAUAUAUUGGAUGAGCAGCGUGGACGCAUAUUCCCUACUCUUUAUAUCAAAUCGCAUUUUCCAUUUUUUCUCUCUAUGUUUUUUUAGUUUGCAU